ACGUACACUCCUGCGGGAGGCAGCAGUGGGGAAUAUUGGACAAUGGGCGCAAGCCUGAUCCAGCCAUGCCGCGUGAGUGAUGAAGGCCCUAGGGUUGUAAAGCUCUUUCACCGGUGAAGAUAAUGACGGUAACCGGAGAAGAAGCCCCGGCUAACUUCGUGCCAGCAGCCGCGGUAAUACGAAGGGGGCUAGCGUUGUUCGGAUUUACUGGGCGUAAAGCGCACGUAGGCGGACUAUUAAGUCAGGGGUGAAAUCCCGGGGCUCAACCCCGGAACUGCCUUUGAUACUGGUAGUCUUGAGUUCGAGAGAGGUGAGUGGAAUUCCGAGUGUAGAGGUGAAAUUCGUAGAUAUUCGGAGGAACACCAGCGGCGAAGGCGGCUCACUGGCUCGAUACUGACGCUGAGGUGCGAAAGCGUGGGGAGCAAACAGGAUUAGAAACCCCAGUAGUCCCAUGA
rnacentral:rRNA from 1 species